UCCCUGGUGGUUCAGUGGCUAAGACUCUGCACUCCCAAUGCAGGGGGCCUGGGUUCGAUCCCUGAUCUGGGAG
rfam:Ovis aries breed Texel chromosome 2, whole genome shotgun sequence.